UGUGUCAAACUCAAGGCCCGCAGGCCACAUCCAGCCCGGCGUGUAAUUAUAUCCGGCCCGUGAGAUCAUUUUAUAUAUUAUUGUUAUUAAUGGCCCGGUGAUAUGAAGCGCUGGUAACACAAUAAACUACAGAUCCCAUAAUGCAGCGCUUCAGCUGCCUUGCCGAACACUUCCCGCGUUAAUCAAGUCUAGCUUAUGAUGCUGCAGGUUAUUGCGAAGCUAGCCCUCAUGAUGCCGAAGAGAAAAGUUGAUUCUGAAAACAGAGCCUUUAAAAACCGAUGGGAGGCUGAGUAUAUGUUUACUGACAUUGCCGGUAAACCCGUGUGUCUCAUUUGUGGAGCUAAUGUGGCUGUAAUUAGAGAAUUUAAUCUAAGACGGCACUAUGAGACAAAACAUCAGGAUAACCUGAAAGACCUGAAUGUAAAGCAGAAGAUACAGAAAGCAGAAGAGUUAAAGAAGAAUCUGACACUUCAGCAGACAUUUUUUACCCGUGCAAAAUCACAAAGUGAAGCUGCUUGAAGCUGCUUUUAUGGGAGACACAAAUGCACCAGUGCAACUUGCCCCACUUUCCCUGCUGCCAAGUAAUGUUGAACCAAGUCGGCACAACGGUGUUCCCAAAUACACACUUUGCUGAUAAACUGAGUGCACUGCAAAAGAGUUCGCACGGCGCUUUGGUGACUUUGAAGAACAAAAAAAGAAUUUUGAAUUGCUUCACAACCCAUUUGCCGUCGAUGUGGAAACUGCACCUGUGCAGAUUCAGAUGGAGCUGAUUGAGCUGCAGUGUAAUGGCACACUGAAGGCAAAGUACGAUACUGCAGGGCCCGCACAGUUUAUUCACUCCAUUCCCGCAGAAAUGCUCCAGCUCCGUCUACAUGCGGCUCGAACCUUGUGCAUGUUUGGUAGCACAUAUCUGUGUGAGAAGCUCUUCUCAGUGAUGAAGACUAACAAAACAGCACACAGGAGUCGUCUCACUGAUGAGCACCUGCAGUCCAUCCUGAGAAUCUCCACAACACAGAACCUCACACCAAACAUAAACAAACUUAUUGCCAAAAAAAGAUGCCAGGUGUCCAGCUCUGAAAAAAUGACAUAAGAGCAAAGACAACUGAAUGAUUUGAUCUGUUACUGCUGAAAAGCACAAAUUUUAUUUAUAUUUCCAGGUUUUGUUAUGCAGCAUGUUCAUAUUUUGAAUUUGUAUAAUUUUGACAGGAUAUAUUUUUAUGGAGAGCAAAAUCUUUUGGGAUAUUUAAAAUUUAAGUUUAUUUUUUAUAUAAAAUGACAUAAGAGUAAAGAAAUUUGAAUGUU